rnacentral:rRNA from 1 species
UACGUAGGGAGCAAGCGUUGUCCGGAAUCAUUGGGCGUAAAGCGCGCGUAGGUGGCUUCGUAAGUCCGUUGUGAAAGUCAAAGGCUCAACCUUUGAAAGCCGAUGGAUACUGUGAAGCUAGAGUACGGAAGAGGCGAGUGGAAUUCCUGGUGUAGCGGUGGAAUGCGCAGAUAUCAGGAGGAAUACCAAUAGCGAAGGCAGCUCGCUGGGACGUUACUGACACUGAGGCGCGAAAGCGUGGGGAGCGAACAGG